UUCCUACGGGAGGCAGCAGUCGGGAAUAUUGCGCAAUGGAGGAAACUCUGACGCAGUGACGCCGCGUGCAGGAAGAAGGUUUUCGGAUUGUAAACUGCUUUAGACAGGGAAGAAAAAAGACAGUACCUGUAGAAUAAGCUCCGGCUAACUACGUGCCAGCAGCCGCGGUAAUACGGAGGAUCCAAGCGUUAUCCGGAUUUAUUGGGUUUAAAGGGUGCGUAGGCGGAUUGAUAAGUUAGAGGUGAAAUGUCCGAGCUCAACUCGGGAACUGCCUCUAAUACUGUUGAUCUAGAGAGUAGAUGCGG
rnacentral:rRNA from 1 species